rnacentral:rRNA from 1 species
UACGGAGGGUGCAAACGUUGCUCGGAAUUAUUGGGCGUAAAGCGCACGUAGGUGGCCUGUUAAGUCGGGUGUGAAAUCCCUGGGCUCAACCCAGGAAGUGCACUCGAAACUGGCAGGCUUGAGUACUGAAGAGGGUCGCGGAAUUCCCGGUGUAGAGGUGAAAUUCGUAGAUAUCGGGAGGAACACCAGUGGCGAAGGCGGCGACCUGGGCAGAUACUGACACUGAGGUGCGAAAGCGUGGGGAGCAAACAGG